UUCAAGUAUUGCCGAAGCUUCCAUUGCGAUUAAAAGAGUUGAGUGUAAGAAAUUGUCAAUGGCUGGAGUUGUUUUAUAACCAAAUGGACAUGUGGAUCACUUCAAAUGAAAAAUUAAGGAGCAAUAUUGAUUGCUCUGUUGUACAAGCUUAUAUUGAUUAUGAUGGAAAACCCUUCAAGAUCCUCCAUCUACAUCCACAAAGUCCUUUAUGGAGUGAAGAAAGUGUCGAAUAUUUUGAUGCUAAGGUAGCAUGCGGCCCUGCGUUGGUGGGAUCAGGAAUCCCAGAGUGGUUCAACGAUAAAAGCACUAAUUCCUUUGGAACAAUUCAAUUGCAUUCAGAUUUGGGCUCAGAUAUGAAUAGGGAGGGGUAUGCUCUUUUUAUUGUUUAUGAAUUUCAUGAGCCUCACACUACUCAUCCAAGAAAGAGCAGAAAACGAAAGGUGGAUGAGCGGAAUGGGAAUUCGAAUUCUACAACAAUAUUUGAUGGCAGUAAUAGUAAUUUACCCAACUUUGUUUGUCAUUUUCAAUUCACUGAUUUGGAUGUUACAAAACCGUUUUUCUUUUGUGCCCCUGGAGUCCCUUCUGUUGGGCUAAACGGAUUUUGGGUGUAUAUACCAUUUUGGUGGAUAUUACCGACAAUUUGGAGUAAUAGAUUUGGAUCCAUUAAGGCUUCAAUUACAACAGACAGCCUGAAUGUUGAGGUAAAGGAGUGUGGGGCGCGUUUAGUACUACGUGAUGAGCAUGAUGCUUCGGCGUUGUACCAAGUUCUCAACACCAUUUCUCCGCCACGUGCUUUGGGUUUCAAAAGUUGCGAGAAACUUUUUUCUCGUUUGUUCGAUAGAUAUAGCUCAUAUUUCAAGGUCGCGGGCCCAAUUAAAUCUAAUGUUGUAGCAUCUGGAUCAAUUGAGUCGGUUAAUUGUUAGAGGAUUAAAAUUCGCCUCAUAAGAAACAGGUCAAUGGGCAUUAAGAUAAAACAAAAAAUGUUGACGUUUCCAUCCCAGAGGAUUAGACGCGAACCGACAAAGAAAAGGAGAAGAAUAGCGCACGAAUGACGAGCGAACACAGAGCCACCUCACUCCGCAGCUCUACAACUUCGACACUGUACAAGAGUUUUAGAGUCAAAUUUACUAGUUUGUCUUUUCUUGAGGCACUUGAGGAUCCUGUUUUUGUUUCUGGAUCGUCAAAGUCUGAGUCAAAGGAAGAUGACAAGGAUUUAACAUCUCAAUCUUGUAAUCGGAAUGACUCUAUGGAGGACUCCCAUUAGCAGAUACACUUUCACGUAUCUUUGUUCAUUUCUUUUCUCCUUGAUUCUGAAGAGUUGUUGGCUAUCCUUUCAAUACUCUCAAGCCUUUAGAAGGCCAUUGAACAAAUGGGAGAACUCAGAGUUGUUCCUUGCUUGCUUAGCAUCAUUAGAGAGAGCCGUAACAAGGAGAAUUGCAUUGCAACCCUCCAAACCAUCUGUUUUAAUGUGGCCUCUCGGGCCAUUAAUUUGUGUAGUCAUUCUCAAUUACCUUUUUGUAUCUUCUCAUUUUGUCUAGAUUCAGUUUCAGCUUCAUGAGUUAAUUUCUAUGAUUCUGGAAAUAAGUAAAAGGAAGCUUUAUUCAUAAAAUUGUCUCUUGUUUUGUUUUAUUUUGCUUUUACUUGUGAUUUGGUGUUGUAAGGAGGAAGUCUGCAUUUUUGCUGUUUUAGCGAAGAAAAUUUGGAUGAGACGUAAUGUAGUAGUGCAUGGAGGGGUAUUUUCUCAUCCAAAUAGUUUGAUACAGGUGGCAGAAGCAUUACUCUUACAAUUUCAGGGGAAUCCGUGUGUGCAGGGAAGUAAUGUGAAUGGUGGGGUGGAGCCUCCUGUGUCAUGGAAACCACCGGUUUUUGGAAGAUUUAAAGUGAAUUGGGAUGUGGCUCUUGAUACUAAAAACAAUUGUAUGGGUUUGUGUGUUAUUGUAAGGGAUCAUAAAGGAUUAAUACAUGCUGCACUGAGAAAAACUUUAAACUGUUUACAUCCCUCAGCAAUAGCGGAAGCAGUUGGAGCAGUACGAGCUGCUGAAUUUUGUUGUGAUUUGGGCUUGCAUUACGUGGUGUUAGAAGGUGAUUCUUUGAUUGUGGUCCAAGAUAUUCUUGCCUCAGCUUGGAAUUGGUGCGCUCAUGGACAAAUUGUGGCAGAUAUUAGGGUGGUUCUAAACUCUAGAAGGAGUUGGAUGGUCAUGCAUACUAAAAGGGAUGCGAAUCAAGCGGCACAUGGACUAGCCAAGCAAGUAGUUAGGAAUCAAAUGGAUUGUGUUUGGAUAGAGGAAAUUUCCAGCUGUAUUUCAAAUAUUGUCGUUUUAGAGCAUUCUACUCUUUCUAUUUAGAGUGUUUAGCUCUAGAUGUUUAUUGGUAUUAUAAUGAGACGAGAUUUAUUCAAAAAAAAAAAAAAUGGUCCAAUACAUACAACCUUGGAUAUUAUUGGUAGCAACAAAAAUGUUGGUUUCUUUAGCCACAUCCCUAUUUCUCACAUAUGGAGAAGGAUAAUCAUUAUGGAAUGAAGAUGAUCAAGAUCAAGCCCACCGAAGUAGAAUUGGAUGAAGAUUUUGCAAAAGUUAAUGGAUUGGAUCCAGCUAAUUCAGGAUCUAGGAAAUCUGGUCUGAACAAUAAAGUAAGCUAUGAUGCUAGUGAUGCUCUGAUGAUUGGAAAGUCUUGCAAGAAGAUGUGUAGUAGUACCGGUGAUUCUGGAAUCGUAAAUAAUUGUAUACAAUUUUACGAUUAUAUACAUCUCUUCCAUUGGAUCUUGCUUCCAAAUUUAAUCAGCGAAAACACUUGAGGAAGAAUACUAUAUCAAU